rnacentral:rRNA from 1 species
GACGAACGCUGGCGGCAUGCCUAAUACAUGCAAGUCGAGCGAACAGAUGAAGUGCUUGCACUUCUGACGUUAGCGGCGAACGGGUGAGUAACACGUAAGGAAUCUACCUAUAAGCGGGGGAUAACAUUCGGAAACGGGUGCUAAUACCGCAUAAUAUCUUCUUCCGCAUGGAAGAAGAUUGAAAGACGGCUCUGCUGUCACUUAUAGAUGACCUUGCGGUGCAUUAGUUAGUUGGUGAGGUAAAGGCCUACCAAGACGAUGAUGCAUAGCCGACCUGGGAGGGUGAUCGGCCACAUUGGGACUGAGACACGGCCCAAACUCCUACGGGAGGCAGCAGUAGGGAAUCUUCCGCAAUGGGCGAAAGCCUGACGGAGCAAUGCCGCGUGAGUGAAGAAGGCCUUCGGGUCGUAAAACUCUGUUAUAAGAGAAGAACAAAUUGUAGAGUAACUGCUACAGUCUUGACGGUAUCUUAUCAGAAAGCCACGGCUAACUACGUGCCAGCCGCCGCGGUAA